CCUACGGGGGGCAGCAGUGAGGAAUAUUGGUCAAUGGACGCAAGUCUGAACCAGCCAUGCCGCGUGCAGGAAGACGGCUCUAUGAGUUGUAAACUGCUUUUGUACGAGGGUAAACGCAGAUACGUGUAUCUGUCUGAAAGUAUCGUACGAAUAAGGAUCGGCUAACUCCGUGCCAGCAGCCGCGGUAAUACGGAGGAUUCAAGCGUUAUCCGGAUUUAUUGGGUUUAAAGGGUGCGUAGGCGGUCGGAUAAGUUAGAGGUGAAAUCCCGAGGCUCAACUUCGGAAUUGCCUUUGAUACUGUUCGUCUAGAGAGUAGUUGCGGUAGGCGGAAUGUAUGGUGUAGCGGUGAAAUGCUUAGAGAUCAUACAGAACACCGAUUGCGAAGGCAGCUUACCAAGCUACUUCUGACGUUGAGGCACGAAAGCGUGGGGAGCAAACAGGAUUAGAUACCCGGGUAGUC
rnacentral:rRNA from 1 species